rnacentral:rRNA from 1 species
UGGGGAGUAUUGCACAAUGGAGGGAACUCUGAUGCAGCAAUGCCGCGUGAGGGAAGAAGGUUUUCGGAUUGUAAACCCUCUGUCCUAGCUGAAGAAAAGAAUGACGGUAGGCUAGGAGGAAGCUCCGGCUAACUACGUGCCAGCAGCCGCGGUAAUACGUAGGGAGCGAGCGUUAUCCGGAUUUACUGGGUGUAAAGGGUGCGUAGGCGGCUAUGCAAGUCAGGCGUGAAAUGUACGGGCUUAACCCGUGAGCUGCGUUUGAAACUGUAUAGCUUGAGUAGAGUAGAGGCAGGCGGAAUUUCCGGUGUAGCGGUGAAAUGCGUAGAGAUCGGAAGGAACACCAGUGGCGAAGGCGGCUUGCUGGGCUCAAACUGACGCUGAGGCACGAAAGCAUGGGGAGCAAACAGGAUUAGAUACCC